GAGCACGAACCCAAACACACUAAGACACGCCCUCGCGCCGCCCCUCGCGCCGCCCAUUGGAUUGCGCCCCGACGACCCCCGCGCUGAUUGGCUGUCUCGUCUGCUCGUCUCAUCUCUCUCCGCCCCUGAAUGUUGUCUAUUGGGGAGGGCCACAUGGAUCUCCCCGCCCGUUAGCCAUGGACCACGUCCAUCAAAGAGAAACACCCGCCUUCCAGCUCCUCUCAUUGGACAAUCUCGUCAGUACCCCCCUCAAUGAUUGGCUGUCCCGGCUGACUGUCACGUAUUGACGUCGCCUCCCUCACUGGCUGCCGACCCUCCUCCCACUCCUCCCGUUGGCUGAGAGAUUGGCCCCGUAAAUGAGAAGCCCGCCCCUACUUGCCCCGCCCCCUGCACGCUACGGAUUGGCCGGUGGGUUGCGCCCUCGCACGCCAUUGGUGAAGGGAUGUGCUCGUCACACCGUAACACGCAGAGGCCCGCCCAUCGAGCCGCGGCCCUCGGCGGCAGCGCUGGAAACGAGGUGGGAGGGAAGGCUGCACCAGCAUGCCUCCUUUCUCUGCCCAAUGGAGGAGACGGGCACACGCGGUAAUGAGGAGGACCGCGGCCACCGCCGUCUCGUAAUGCCAGGCGGCAACAACGCCACAUUCCUCCCGUCUGCAACGACAUUUGCUUCUUGCCCCGCCCUUCCCACACAGCGAUUGGGCGGGGAGGAUGUCAGUCGCACUACUCGCCAGUCCAUUGGUGCGCGGCGACUCCGCCGCAGCCAACUGACAGCCGCUCAGGCGUGGGCGGGAGGGGGCGUUCUCCUCCCUAUGAUUGGUUGAGUCAACUGUCAAUCCCUGCACUGUCUCUCGGCGGCGGGGGGGAAGGCGGUGACGGGCCGCGUGAGGCGGCGGGGGCGUCACGUGGCUCCUGCAUUUGCGCACGUGACGGGGCUGGCGACCGUUGGUGUGGGGGAAGGGUUGUGUGAGGCGCUCCCUAAGAGCGUGGUUGGCGGCACCGCUGUUCCACACGGUGGGCUGAAGGGAAACGGGGGCUGUGGGGUCGAGAAAAGCUGAGGAGGAGACGAGCAAAAACAGAGGAAGGAGUGCUCUGAGGGGAUCUGGGGUCAUCAACACUCAGACAUGGGGGUUGGUGUUGGAUGACGUGGUCUCCGUGGGUCCCUUCCAGCUCGGGCUUCUUCUGUGAUCACAGAGGCGUUUGAGAGGGAGAGAAAAUGGAGGUCUUCUAUAACAACAAAGAAAAAGCACAAAUGAGCAACUUAAAGAAAAACCAGAGAGGAAGAUGUCUGCUUUGUGCUUCCAGUUCUGAAAAUGAAGCAGUGUGCACAUAAAAGUUAUUGGCAGCUGUGCUGAGGCCAGAGGUCGUGCAGCUCUUCAGGCAAGAUUUUAUUUACCUUUUCACCUCCUCAUUUCACCAACUUGGUCAGAGAUGACACUCAACAGCAGCAGGAACUUAUACACAACAGUUUGAGUCACCUUUAGCUGAACCUAAACAAAACUAAAGUAUAGGUCUCUCAUUAUCCUUUAUUAUGAAGGAGAUCAAUGCAAGCAGAAUGGCUGCCAUUUUGCUUUAAUCUGCGGAAGCAACACUGUUGUCUGUGAAAAGGUGCACUGCUGUCCACACCUGUCAGAAGGAGUGAAAGCAGUACUACAGGUGGAGUAGUUAAGCUUCUUUGGUCUGGUGAGCUGGGUGCAGACUGCGAGCAGCAGUGAUACUCUGCAAGAAGAAUGCGUGAUAAGACAGUGAGCAGGGUCUGGCAAACAGGGUGAAGUGUAACUGGAGAAUGGGGCAAAAGAGUUCAGACUGAAGGGCAGGAAAUCUGGACCUGGAAACAUCUGUUUCCUUUGCUGGUGUGGAAAAUCAUGCCUCCUUCAGGCAGACUGAGGAGGGAGAAGGAGAGAGAACCCACAAAAAUUGUCAUAAUCGGGGAGUUAGAGCUACAGUUGAACUGCUUAAACUCUCCCUCAUGUUGGAUGGUGGUUACACUAUUGCUCCUUUCCCAGGCUUCUUUUUGUCCACAAUUUCUCUAAAGUGGUGUUUGAGGGGAAGCAUAACAUCUGCAUUUUUAUUUUUAAAAAAGUAUGUAACAAGACUGCUUACUGCCACCUGCAGAGGAACUGGAGUCAAUUACAGUAGAACCUGAGGACAGAAAGUGAGAAUAGUGCAGGAAGAGAGCAUAAGAAAGAAAGCUGGAGGAGAAAAACAACUGCAAGACUGCACAACCUUAGGACCAGUAAAAAAAGAUUUACAAAGGAGUGCUAAGGAGUGGGAAGCUGCAUGGAAGGUUUCUUGUAUCCAGGGCUGCACACAGAAGGUCUACUUCAUCUCACUUGCGCAGAUAUAUGGGCACAUGAGCACACACAGCCUUUUCUAGCUCUCACCUUUCCUGGCCACAGUCUCCUCCUUACCCUUGCAUCAGCUACAGGGAGGCCCUAGCAAGGAUCCCAAAGAAAGGGCUGCACAGAGAACGGAGGGAUGAUGACAGUGGUGACAGCAGGAAGAGCUGCACAGGGAAACGGACCAGCAGCAGCCCGUUUCCAUGACUUGGCCUCCAGCGGUUUCUGGAAGAGAGAACAGCAAAGCUGGGUGGGCCUGUCUGUUUGUUCUUUAAUACUCAAAUCUAACUGCUUACAAACCCUGUGACUCACACACUGUCCCAGCCCAUCUUCUGCAAUGGUUGGCAGCAAAGUUAAAUCCAGGUUCUCAAGUACAGCUUUGUGUCACCCCCUUGAUGGAAGCCUGCCAGCAGCUUCCCUGUAGCUGAGCUGCUGUUGGGAGCUCGGGGUGGGGCUGCAUGUGUAAAGACCACAGGCUGACUCCUGAGAGCAAUCACAGGACCUCUUGGUAGCAGAUGAUCUCUUCAAAACCACCAGUUAAUCACACACAAGCAGAAACUGAGGAAGACUUAAUUGCUCAGGGGCUAACAUACAUUUGGCCCACUGGGUUAUUUUCUUUUUGCACAGGGAAGGAAUGAUGAUGAGGAUGUUCUAGUGGAUUUCAUCACGAGCUAACAACCAUUUGCAAAACAGCAUGUUCUCCCCCACACAUGUGAAAAAGCAAGCAAAAACCCCAGGACUUUCCUUUUAAUCCUGCACUAAGCUCCCAGACAACUAGAAGAAAGUCAAAAGUUUGUUGGGUUUUUCUUUCUUUCUUUCUUUCCCCUGAAGAGAGCGAGAUGUUCUGUGGUUGCUGUUGUGGAUUCACUAACUGUGCUAAAGAAAGCAUGUUCCCUCUCAAGAGCCCUGAGCAACUCAGUUCUACUAUUUGUUUCUGCUGCUUGGACUGUACUUGAUUGCUGCUGCUGGCUUACUUUCUGUCACUGAGAACCUUGCAGAGCUUAAACCAGCCCUGGCAGCAAUUCUUCCUUACAGUCUUGCUUCCACUUUGGUUCUUGCUAACCAUAGCACAAAGAGCAAUGAAAAUACACAUUAAAGCUACUCCUAACAAGGUGUUCCAGACCAGGGCUGUGUUCAAGAAGAUGUUUGUGUUUAUCGAGAGUCCAACUCCCAAAUCCUUCUACUGCCACACUUUCUUUUGAAGCAGUAUUCAAUGCAAAGACCUACAGCAUUUUCAAGGGUUUCCUCAUGUGAGCAACACUGCUAUGCACAAGUGAAUUCCCAAUUACUUAUACCAAGCGCUACUUACAUGGGAGACUUUGAAACAAGAUGGAGCCUGCCUGAAACAACAUCCUCCUUUUGGCUGCAGGGUACAGCAUCUGUGGCUGGCGCCUGUGCUUGUCUGUCUCUGUCUUUGUUCUUAUGAGUUUGUCUCCUUGGAUGCAAAAUGGAAGCUGUUGGUUAUACUGUGCUGUCAGGAUCUCCAGCAUUCAUCCAGCAUAACCCCAGUGGGUGCAGCGAAAUUAAUCCAGAUUUGCUGAAGUAUAACUUUGGUUCUGUAAGUUAAUUAAUAUGUUUAAAAGCGGUUUGGAAAUUGGUGAGAAACCAGUGGAGACCGCUUUAACUUUUCCUUCCAGAAAAGUUUUGAUUUAUUGAAAUGUUGUAGUCAUAAAUACCGAACAAAGGAAGUGAAUAUAUUGCAGUGUCUUCAUUGUGAAAGGGCAAUGGCAGAUGCUUGGAUAAACCAGGAAACAGGUCUUUAUUUCAGCGCAAUGCCUGCAAGGAUUUCUGUCUUUCAUACCUCUCCAAGAAGUUAUUUUAACUACCUUUCUAUGAGAUUUAUUAGGCUGUGAAGGAGAAUUUCAAACAAAUGGUAGAAUAACAAAAUCCUAGAAAGAUAGGCUGGUGAAUUGUCUUGCAUUGCACUAGGGCAAUGACCCAGACGACCUAGCAGCCUUUUCCAUUUCUAACAUCCAUGAUUACCACAGUUAUACCUCAGGACACUAAACAGAGCCAUUUUCUUCCUUUCAGAAGCAGCAAAAUGUCACUAAUGGCCGUGCUAAAUCAGAAGAACUUAUGUGUUACACACUUAGCAAGACAGCUAAAAAUGAUCCCACUUGGUUUAUAUUUGCUAUUUUCCAUUUCUGUAGUGCAAGUGCUCCGCUCAAGGGGGCUGCCAGCCAAGGGAAAGAAUUUCUGGUAGAAGAUUAAGGAUAACUAAGGAAAUGGUUGCAUGACCUAUAAAGAGAGGAUCAUAAAUAUUGCAACAAUAAAACCAAUAGCUCUUUCAAAGUUUAAAUAGCUUUUCUUUUCAAACACUUGAAGUAAAUGCCCUUUUCCCAAGGUUGUAUAGCAUCUGUGCCUUGGGAUUUUACUCAGUUUCACCAAAUACAUUGUAAUUUCUCAGAGAGAUAGCUAUUCCUUUUAAUCAUUUUUGUUUGUGGAAGUGUCCUCUUCAGAGAAGCUGGAGCCCAUCUACCUCAAAGUGCCUUAUUACUUCUCCUGCUACUGAAGUUAUAGAAAAGCAAGAGCACAGCAGUAAAACAGCCCCUGCAUUUCUUAAGCACCAUGGUCACAGACAAUGCAAGAUGAGGCAAGUAUGAUUCUGUUCCUCAUAAACAAGCAGCACCACUUACACGUUUUUUUACGUUCAAGGGGAAACCUCGGAUGCAAGGGUCUGCCUGUGUAAGUAUUCAGGUAUACAAUUCAUUUUCUUCACAGUCCCAACUGUGCAAAAAGCCAGACCUGGGCUGCUGUCACUGCAUAGUAGAAUACAACUGACAUUCCUAUCCCACACACUCUGUUGGCAUGCAACACGUAGCUUUAGUUUUUAUGGUAUAGGAUCCAGCUCUAGAGUAAGCAAUCUGUUUUCAUGUGCUCAUUUUUUUCCCCAUACUCCAUCUUACAUCAUUGUGUAGCUAAUGCAGGGCAUGCUCAAACUGAUGUGUACCACCAGCUGUAUUGCUAUAUCAGAGCAAUACAUGCACGUCUUGCUGAAGCAUUCCUAUUCCUUUGUCACCUCAUGUUGCCAUAUUUAUUUAAUUUACGUCUCAGGCCCUGAUUUGAGAAUACUGUUUUGGAUACAGUAAAAAGGCACUACACCUGCCACAGACAGAGGCUAGACAGCCUUGAUGUUAGUGCUCAAUCCUGUGUAUUGGUCAGAUUGCAGAAAGCAGUAUUCUUUCUGUAACAGCCAGUCCAGAUUGGUAAAUCAAAAAGCUGAAGAAACACGGUGUUUAUUCAGCCCACAGUGUGCAUGUGCCAAAUCCACCCCCAAACUCAUGCAAAAUGCUGAUCUGGCCACAGUGCACUGGCACAACGUACUUUUUUCACUUGCACAGAUGAAAUAAAAUUCACUAUUCAGCAGAAGCUUUUUUUUUUUUUUUUUGCUUU